rnacentral:lncRNA from 1 species
AGCAGAUGAUGUCUGGGAGCCAAACGAUUCUUGAGAUAACUCCUGAGGAGGGGGGAAGCGUUGCUGGGAAUAUGCAGACUGCUGCUGCUGCGGCUGUGACUGAGGGUAUGAAGAUGACUGCUGAGAAAGAGCCGAGGAAGCUGUCUGCUGAGUUUGCUGCUGCUGCUGGUAGGGUGACUGUGACUGCUGCUGUGAGUAGGGAGGCUGAUUCUGUUGAUGCUGCUGGGCUGUGGACUGCUGCUGAGGAUAUGGAGUUGGGGACUGCUGAUGGGGCGGCUGGGACUGCUGCUGCGAAUACGCAGGCUGCGAUGUCUGAAGCUGUGGAGCUUGAGACUGAGGCUG